rnacentral:lncRNA from 1 species
CGAAAUAGCGAGCAGUUACAAAGGCCCGUGUUUUAUUGUACGAGGAAAUAGCGAGGAAUUACAAGGGCCCGUGUUUUUAUAUACGAGGUAUUAACGACGAUUUUGCUUACGUAGAAUUGAUGAGCCGCGUUUUCCUAUAAAUAUACCUACAACUCUCAUUCUCAAACCACACACAAACUCCCAAAUCACACUCUCAAAUCACAUUCUUCAACAAAAUCCUAUUCAAAUUAUAAAUAUUUGAAAAAAAUAGGAAAAGGAGAAGAUAUUGGAAUUCAUGUGGGCGAGACUUACGUAUUAUAAUUGCUGGAAGUCUUGCCACAUGUUAAUCUGGUAUUUCUCUCCUUUUCCUUUUUUUUCUAGUUUUUACACUACGAGAUAUUUACGACGAUUUG